AAAUAUUAUUAUUUGAAUAUAUUUAAAACAGUACUUAAAUAUUAUGUCUAUAAACAUUAACAUACCCGUAACAAGUAUAUGCAAUUUGAAAGUGAACUGCAGAAGUGCCAGUAAUAGGUGGUUGAAUAUUUGGACAUAGCGGCUGUGUUGGAACACUAUUUUUUUUUGAUGAACAAGUCGUAGCUAAACUGGGUGGAUAUCUUUCUAAUGCUUCUUUUAGAGUUGUCAUUUUAUAUAAAAUUCGAUUUUUCUAUUAGAUUCAAAUAAUAAAUGUCAAUAUCUUAAGAAUAUUAAAAUGAGGCAGAUACAUUGUAAAACGAACAAGGAUACUUUCACGAAAUAUACACGCAGUCGUACAUUGAUUCAGGAAUCGAUCAGCGAUACUAUGUACAACACAACCACGGAAGCGUGCACGAUGUUGAAGUAAUUCGCAAAUAAUGCGGUUGCACUUUUCUCAAAUUUGGCACGCGGUGCAUCUGCUCGUAUAUUAUUUCCAUUUUUAUCCCUUUUCCCUUAUUCCAGUGUCUUUGUGUGCUCACGUAACAAAUUAAACAAUCUUAAAUGCACUAUAAUCUCUUUCAGUGAGUCAAAACACUGGAAUAUGUCUCAACUGAUGUCUGUUCUUGCUAUUUUUUUUAUAAUAAAUUUUUCAAAAUAAACGUUAUUUGAUAAACUACCAAGAGGAUAAACAGAUUAGUUUUGCAACAGAUCGAAAAUGUUUAAGGUUAGAAACAGAAACCAGUCAAGAUGAUUUCUAUUUUAAUUUAGAUCCUUUAGAUCCUUUAGAUCCUAGCCAAAUAAAUUUAAACGAAUAGUUAACUUACAUGAGUAAGUUAUAUGUAAGUACGAUAUGAAAGAAAAAAAA